rnacentral:rRNA from 1 species
CUACGGGAUGCAGCAGUAGGGAAUUUUCGGCAAUGGGGGAAACCCUGACCGAGCAACGCCGCGUGAAUGACGAAGUACUUCGGUAUGUAAAGUUCUUUUAUUAGGGAAGAAUGGCAGGUGGAAAAACCUGAUUGACGGUACCUAAUGAAUAAGCCCCGGCUAACUAUGUGCCAGCAGCCGCGGUAAUACAUAGGGGGCAAGCGUUAUCCGGAAUUAUUGGGCGUAAAGGGUGCGUAGGUGGUUAUUUAAGUCUUUGGUGUAAGUGCAGUGCUUAACGCUGUGAUGCUAAAGAAACUGGGUAACUUGAGUGUGGUAGAGGCAAGUGGAAUUCCAUGUGUAGCGGUAAAAUGCGUAAAUAUAUGGAGGAACACCAGUGGCGAAGGCGGCUUGCUGGGCCACAACUGACACUGAGGCACGAAAGCGUGGGGAGCAAACAGGAUUAGAUACCCCAGUAGUC